rnacentral:rRNA from 1 species
GACGAACGCUGGCGGCGUGCUUAACACAUGCAAGUCGAACGGAAAGGCCCUGCUUUUGUGGGGUGCUCGAGUGGCGAACGGGUGAGUAACACGUGAGUAACCUGCCCUUGACUUUGUGAUAACUUCAGGAAACUGGGGCUAAUACCGGAUAGGAGCUCCUGCUGCAUGGUGGGGGUUGGAAAGUUUCGGCGGUUGGGGAUGGACUCGCGGCUUAUCAGCUUGUUGGUGGGGUAGUGGCUUACCAAGGCUUUGACGGGUAGCCGGCCUGAGAGGGUGACCGGCCACAUUGGGACUGAGAUACGGCCCAGACUCCUACGGGAGGCAGCAGUGGGGAAUAUUGCACAAUGGGCGGAAGCCUGAUGCAGCAACGCCGCGUGCGGGAUGACGGCCUUCGGGUUGUAAACCGCUUUCGCCUGUGACGAAGCGUGAGUGACGGUAAUGGGUAAAGGAGCACCGGCUAACUACGUG